AUGAACGCUAGCUACAGGCUUAACACAUGCAAGUCGAGGGGCAGCAUGGUCUUAGCUUGCUAAGGCCGAUGGCGACCGGCGCACGGGUGAGUAACGCGUAUCCAACCUGCCUUACACUCUUGGACAGCCUUCUGAAAGGGAGAUUAAUACAAGAUGUUAUCAUGAGUAAGCAUUUUCGCAUGAUUAAAGGUUUACCGGUGUAAGAUGGGGAUGCGUUCCAUUAGAUAGUAGGCGGGGUAACGGCCCACCUAGUCUUCGAUGGAUAGGGGUUCUGAGAGGAAGGUCCCCCACAUUGGAACUGAGACACGGUCCAAACUCCUACGGGAGGCAGCAGUGAGGAAUAUUGGUCAAUGGACGAGAGUCUGAACCAGCCAAGUAGCGUGAAGGAUGAAGGUUCUAUGGAUUGUAAACUUCUUUUAUACGGGAAUAAACGAAUCCACGCGUGGAUUUUUGCAUGUACCGUAUGAAUAAGGAUCGGCUAACUCCGUGCCAGCAGCCGCGGUAAUACGGAGGAUCCGAGCGUUAUCCGGAUUUAUUGGGUUUAAAGGGAGCGUAGAUGGGUUGUUAAGUCAGUUGUGAAAGUUUGCGGCUCAACCGUAAAAUUGCAAUUGAUACUGGCAGUCUUGAGUACAGUUGAGGUAGGCGGAAUUCGUGGUGCAGCGGUGAAAUGCUUAGAUAUCACGAAGAACUCCGAUUGCGAAGGCAGCUUACUAACCUGUAACUGACAUUGAUGCUCGAAAGUGUGGGUAUCAAACAGGAUUAGAUACCCUGGUAGUCCACACGGUAAACGAUGAAUACUCGCUGUAGGCGAUAUACAGUCUGCGGCCAAGCGAAAGCAUUAAGUAUUCCACCUGGGGAGUACGCCGGCAACGGUGAAACUCAAAGGAAUUGACGGGGGCUCGCACAAGCGGAGGAACAUGUGGUUUAAUUCGAUGAUACGCGAGGAACCUUACCCGGGCUUAAAUUGCAACCGAAUAUGGCGGAAACGCUAUAGCUAGCAAUAGCGGUUGUGAAGGUGCUGCAUGGUUGUCGUCAGCUCGUGCCGUGAGGUGUCGGCUUAAGUGCCAUAACGAGCGCAACCCUUGCCGAUAGUUACUAACAGGUUAUGCUGAGGACUCUGUCGGGACUGCCAUCGUAAGAUGUGAGGAAGGUGGGGAUGACGUCAAAUCAGCACGGCCCUUACGUCCGGGGCUACACACGUGUUACAAUGGGGGGUACAGAGGGCUGCUACCACGCAAGUGGAUGCCAAUCCCAAAAACCUCUCUCAGUUCGGAUUGAAGUCUGCAACCCGACUUCAUGAAGCUGGAUUCGCUAGUAAUCGCGCAUCAGCCACGGCGCGGUGAAUACGUUCCCGGGCCUUGUACACACCGCCCGUCAAGCCAUGGGAGCCGGGGGUACCUGAAGUGCGUAACCGCAAGGAGCGCCCUAGGGUAAAACUGGUGACUGGGGCUA
rnacentral:rRNA from 1 species